GUCCUCUUCCUGCCUGGAGUUGGUGAUUUGUUCUCAGAGGCUUGUGUCAGGACUGCAGAUAGGAAGAUGUCUUCAGGAAAUGGUAAAAUUGGGCACCCUGCCCCCAGUUUCAAAGCCACAGCCGUUAUGCCAAAUGGUCAGUUUAAAGCUAUCAGCCUGUCUGACUACAAAGGAAAACAUGUUGUGUUCUUCUUUCACUCUCUUGACUUCACCUUUGUGUACCCCAUAGAGAUCACUGCUUUCAGUGACAGGGCAGAAAAAUUUCAGAAACUCAACUGCCAAGUGAUUGGUGCUUCUGUGGAUUCUCACUUCUGUCACCUGGCAUGGAUCAACACACCUAAGAAACAAGGAAGAUGGGGACCCAUGGACAUUCCUUUGGCAUCAGACCCGAAUUGCACCAUUGCUCAGGAUUACGGGAUUUGUUUUUUAUUUUGAGACGGAGUCUUAAAGGCUGAUGAAGGCAUCUCAUUCAGGGUCCUCUUUAUCAUUGAUGAUAAGGGUAUUCUUCUGCAGAUCAUUGUAAAGUGCCUCCCUGUUGGCUGCUCUGUGGAUGAGACUUUGAGACUAGUUCAGGCCUUGUAGUUCAAUGACAAACACGGGGAAGUGUACCCAACUGGCUAAAAGCCUGGCAGUGAUACCAUCAAGCCCGAUAUCCAAAAGAGCAAAGAAUAUUUCUCCAAGCAGAAGUGA